rnacentral:lncRNA from 1 species
UCCAAUUGAUUAAUUGUACCCUCUCUAUACACCAUGCUUCUCAUUUCUAAUAGGUAUAUAAUCUUCUACCCAAACCUUUCCAAUUGAAAUGGGUCUAGGUUUAGGAAGAGGGACCCAACGGCAGGCCUACAGCAGCCCGUCUGCCAUGCCCAUCAGCUACGCGGACUGCAGGUUGCGGUCUGCCUUCAGGAUCUCCUGCGCAUGCACUGCCAAGAGUGAUUGCUUGUUCAUCAGGUUGCGGACUAUAGAAGGACCGCACCACACAGCAAUUUCAUCAGUUGGAGAAAAAAAAGAGGAAUUGCUUGUUCGCUUUUUUGCAAAAAAAUAGACUUUGGAUUUUUUUUUUUACCUCACUCAACCUUGUGGGGUGGCGAGCAUGACG